rnacentral:lncRNA from 1 species
ACCUAAUAGAACCUCGAUUUAAUUAGAUCAAAGUUUCCUGGAUUUACUUCAAAUUAUUCUAAAUUUGUUCAACAGUUGGUAACAACACCUUCAAUUAAAUUCUUACUUGCUAACUAAACUGACUAUCAGACUCAAUGGCAAAAUUUACCAGUAUAGACGUUCAUUUGUUGAUCUCUGUCCAGAUUCGAACAAUAACUCAAAGAGUCCCUUUUCAAUAGAUCUAGAGCAAUUGUUAAGAUAAAAUGAUUAAGCUAUGACUUUACGAAACAAUUAUAAAAAGCCACAAUCAACUGAAGCGAUUAUCUAUUAUAUUAUGAAAUUGAUUUAACUAAUUAGAUCUAAAGGCUACUAUCAGUUUAAUUAUCAAGAGCUACUGAUUUAGGUGAGUAUUCAUAGACUUAUCCUCACAUUAAUAGCAUGAUCAACUGAAUUACCUAUAAAAAUUUUGAAUAAAUCAUACAGUCCAGUACAAUCCAUGAAGUUCCAAUUGGUACAUUCACAAAAUUAUUUAAACAAUUCAACUAAACUAAAAUUCUAAGCUAGAAUACAACACAUAAAUAAUUCUUCAUCAUUCAAUCUCAAUUCAAAGCUACAUUGAGGUGAUUUGAGGAGGUGUACCUGGAGUGAAUUAAAUAGAUAAGGAGAAAUCAGCAGUAGUAACAACUUCCAAAAGUAAUUUAGGAACGAGUUUAAAAACCUAGCAGCAAUCAAUAAAUGAGUACAAUAGCCCAGAAAUGAUCCAGCACUCCAAAACAAAUCGAAAUCAAGUAGGACAAGGCAAUCAACAACUUGAAUGACCCAAAGGAAUUUGAAAAUUCACCCAAAACCCUCUGUAACUUCAGAAAAUUAGAGAUUCACAUCGAAGAAAAACAAUUCAUGUAGGGCAACUGCCAGAACUCACAAUUACUCGAUGUAGCCAUUUUUUUGUAUAUUUUGUAGCAUUUGUAUUUUUUUUUUAAAGAUUUUCUAAGAUGAAAAGGAAUUUCAGAAUUUCAGAUCUAGCUUUUUGAAUCUGGAAUUCAAAUUUAAGCUUCUAGAACUAUAGACUUUUUCUGGGGAACUUUUAUGGCUCCAAAUUUGUGACAUAAGGCACUAGUCAUGCCUUUUUAUAGGCAAAAUGAGGGCAGCAUUUCAGAUUUCAGUUUUGGCCUAUAGUCUCUCACUUAUUGACUUGUUUCUCAAGUUAUACCACUUAUUUUCUGAAAAUCUACCUAAAGCCCUAUUGUAGAAGAUUCUAGAUGGUUCUAAUAUCAAAUACAACAUUCUUUCUAUUUAGGAAUACCUAAACUACCCUUUAAUAUCCUAAAAUUACCUACUUGAAUCAAAACUAAACUAUCUUUUUAACUAAACCAUGGUCAGUUGACCAAACCAAGUCAGCUAUAACCAAACAACUCAACUCAUUGAGUUUCACUACUUGCCACUAAGAAUUACUAAUCAAAACCAAAAAAUAACUACAAUCAGAUACUACUUAACAAGACUGACCCAAGAAGUUAAAUUAGACUAAAUCACUAGAACAUGAUUAAUCAAAACAAACUAAUUGAACACUGACUUAGACAAAAUCAAAAUUAGAAAAUAAAAAUAAAAGUAAAAGAGAAAAAAUGACUGUGAAAACCUAUUAGUUUUGGCUAAUGCAAAUAUUAAAUAGGGUUAAACAAGAAGCAAACUAAACAAAUGAGACAAUUACAUGGACAGAAUAUCAACACAUAGUAAAUCCUAAUCUGAUAAGAUCAUACUAAUGAUCAAACUAAAAUUAAAAACAAACUAACUAAAGUCUAAGCAAACAAAUAAUCAAGCACAAAAUUAGAAAAAAAUUGAAAGAAAUUAAAACGCACAUUAAACUAAUAAUUAAUAAGUAUGAGAACAGAAGCAAAAGAAGAUAAUUAAACAAAGAAAGAGAAAAAUCAAAACUCACUGACACGGCUCAAAAUUCUGCUGCUUCUCGUUUAAAAUUCGAAUGAUUCUGGUGAUAUUUGAAUGUUGUUGAUGGUGAAUUCGUCAUGAGGGAGAUGAGGUGACUAUGUAGUAUCAAUUUGGUGAUGUUUGGAGAAACUAGGGUUUUGCCGGAAACUUCAAAUUAGUAUUCGAGCACUUCUUGUUAGAUUCGAGGGAUGGGGUUUGGGGGAUAUGAGAGAGGGGAAUGGUGCAGUUCGAGGUUGUAAUUUUGGUAAAGUUCAGAUGAUUUUGCAUUUUGGCCAGAGGUUUUCGAUCCAAUAUUCGAAAAAUUCGGCUGUAAUUUGAGAGGAACGAAGUGUAUAUACGGAACAGGGAGGUAAAGAGGAAGUCAUGGUGUAAAUAUUAGGGUAUUUGGAGACUUGCCACCGACGGAGGCGAUUUCCGUCCGGUAGCGAACGGCGGAGACGGUGGAGGGUUCUCUGAGGUAUAAGAGAUGAGAUCUAACGGGGGGUAUGGGAUUCCAACAAUUAUAUAUCAAUGAAAGCCACUUCAAGACUGCCCGAUCAGAUUACCUCGAUGGCAUAGAUUUAUCAACGAUUAAAUGGGGUCAUUUGUUUAUCCUGGAGACUGACCAGGUAAUGGGAGAUUGGGCUGAGGUAGAUUUAAUAAAAACGGCCAAAUUCGGGUCCUUCACUAGAUAGCAUUUUCUUU